UGGGGAAUAUUGGACAAUGGGGGGAACCCUGAUCCAGCCAUGCCGCGUGUGUGAAGAAGGCCUUAUGGUUGUAAAGCACUUUAAGCGAGGAGGAGGCUCCUGUAGUUAAUACCUACAGAGAGUGGACGUUACUCGCAGAAUAAGCACCGGCUAACUCUGUGCCAGCAGCCGCGGUAAUACAGAGGGUGCGAGCGUUAAUCGGAUUUACUGGGCGUAAAGCGUGCGUAGGCGGCUUUUUAAGUCGGAUGUGAAAUCCCCGAGCUUAACUUGGGAAUUGCAUUCGAUACUGGGAAGCUAGAGUAUGGGAGAGGAUGGUAGAAUUCCAGGUGUAGCGGUGAAAUGCGUAGAGAUCUGGAGGAAUACCGAUGGCGAAGGCAGCCAUCUGGCCUAAUACUGACGCUGAGGUACGAAAGCAUGGGGAGCAAACA
rnacentral:rRNA from 1 species